rnacentral:lncRNA from 1 species
UGGGUGUGAGCAGAGGGUGAUGAUAUGUCAGUUGAGCAGGCUAUUAGUGGAGAAGUUUCCGAUGUUCCAUUGCAGUAGUAGCAGAUUUAUUUGUUUUAGUUUUGUUUUGUUGUUGAGAUUACCAUUCUUAUAUAUAGUUUUGAUAGAACUACAUUGUAUAUAAAGUUUUAAAUUUAUAGUUAUUUUACAUGACUGUAAAUUAUACUUUAUAAUCUUUUCUCUAACUGUAUG